CCUACGGGAGGCAGCAGUAAGGAAUCUUCCACAAUGGGCGAAAGCCUGAUGGAGCAACGCCGCGUGCAGGAUGAAGGCCCUCGGGUGCUAAACUGCUUUUAUGAGUGAAGAAUAUGACGGUAACUCAUGAAUAAGCACCGGCUAACUACGUGCCAGCAGCCGCG
rnacentral:rRNA from 1 species